GCGCGGCACGGCACGGUGGGAGUGUCUCCGGCUGGUCUGCAGGGAGGACACCGACUGAGACCACAAACCCUGGCUCCAGUGUCAUGGAAUCAGUCACCUUUGAGGAUGUGGCCGUGGAGUUCAUCCAGGAGUGGGCAUUGCUGGACAGUGCACGGAGGAGCCUGUGCAGAUACAGGAUGCUGGACCAGUGCAGGACCCUGGCCUCCAGGGGAACUCCACCAUGCAAACCCAGUUGCGUCUCCCAGCUGGGGCCAAGAGCAGAGCCACGGGCAACAGAACAAGGGAUUCUCCAUGCCACAGGUGUAGCCUGGGAAUCUCAACUUAAACCCAAAGAGUUGCCUUCUAUGCAGGAUCUUUUGGAAGAAGCAUCCUCCAGGGACAUGCAAAUGAGAUGGGGUCUUUCUAUGUUGCCCAGGAUGAUCUCGAACUCCUGGCCUCAUGUGAUCCUCCCACCUCAGCCACCCAAGUAGCUGGGACUACAGGUGUGAGCCAGUGGGCCCAGCCAUUACUCACCUCUUGUCAGGAGCAAGCUCCACCUG
rnacentral:sRNA from 1 species